GCCGCUGUAGCUCAGUUGGUAGAGCAGCAGACUGAAAAUCUGCGUGUCGUUGGUUCGAUUCCAACCGGUGGCA
rfam:Treponema porcinum strain ATCC BAA-908 genome assembly, contig: EI69DRAFT_scaffold00010.10